CAGCGCGUCGCUGAACUGUUGCGGCUGGCGAAUAUCCAGCGCCAGCGGCAGCAGCCGCUGCUGGCUGGGAUCGAUCUCCUGCGCGCUGC
rnacentral:tRNA from 1 species